rnacentral:lncRNA from 1 species
AUGCAAGCACUUUACGCUUUCUUUAUUGUAUUAAAUAAAUCCUUAAAAGGUGAUGAAGAGGAGACAGCUGAAGUCACUGAAGCAGAGACAGCCACAGAAGAGACUGAUACAGUAACUGCUGCUGGACCUGCAGCACAGGAUGAGAGUUCUGGGGUAUCCUCAGAAACUGGAGGGGAGAGCAGCUUACCAGCUGCAGAUGUACCCGCUGCUGUGGAGGGAGCACAGCAGGAAGCUGCUGCUAAUUCAGAAGCUGCUACAGUGCAAGAAACUGUGGUUGAAGGCUUGGAUGUUGCAGUUUCUUCUGCCCAUGAGGAAAACUUAGACAGUGUCAAAGAAGGAGUAGCCUCAGCAGCUCAAGAGAUGUCUGACGCAGCCGCAAGGGACCAGGACGCUGAUGCUGAGGAGCCUGGGCAAACUUCAGAAGUUUCCAUGGAAGGGACAACAGCUGAGGAUGCUGCAAAGGAAUCCUAAG